rnacentral:rRNA from 1 species
AGCAGCCGCGGUAAUUCCAGCUCCAAUAGCGUAUAUUAAAGUUGCUGCAGUUAAAAAGCUCGUAGUUGAAUUUCGGGACUAAUAUGUCGGUCGUGCCUCGGUACGUACUGGUAUUUUUGGUUUCUCCCUUCUGACGAACCUUGAUGUCAUUAAUUUGGUGUCUUGGGAAAUCAGGACCGUUACUUUGAAAAAAUUAGAGUGUUUAAAGCAGGCUCACGCUUGAAUACAUUAGCAUGGAAUAAUGAAAUAGGACGUUUGAUUCUAUUUUGUUGGUUUCUAGGAUUGACGUAAUGAUUAAUAGGGAUAGGUUGGGGCAUUAGUAUUCAAUUGUCAGAGGUNAAAUUCUUGGAUUUAUUGAAGACUAACUACUGACGAAAGC